ensembl:lncRNA
CAUCUGGUGUAAUAGUGGAGGGAGAUUCAGUGACUCUGAGCUGCAGCAGUGAUUCAAACCCUCCUGCAGAAAUCAGCUGGUUUAAAGGAGGAACGUUUGUAGGAUCUGGAAGAAUCUACAGCAUCUCAAAGAUCAGCACUGAUCACAGUGGAGAAUACAAGUGCAAGUCCAGAAAUAAACAUGGAGAGAAAGACUCUGAUGCUGUGACUUUAAUCUUCAUGUCAGUCAGAUGUUUGUCGUCUGUUGCUACUGGUGUUGCUGUUGGUGUUUUACUCGGUGGAGCAACAGGUGCUUUUAUGAUGUACAUUUGUCUUACUAAAAGGAUGAACAGAAGAUCUGCUAUGAAGAAGUCUGCGGUCUCUGAUCCCAAUGAAGACACAUAUACUGCUCUUGAGCUCAAGUCCAUGACCUCUGACCUCUACGACACACUCACAGUAAGUGAGACGUCAAAGUCAGAUCAUCAUCACAGAUGAUCACAUGACCAUCUCUCGCUCUCUUCCACACAGACCGUUCGUCCCAGACCUCCUGAAGACUCUUGAUCCUAAACAUGAGAAUCCAUCAGUAAGUGUCUGAACUGCAGCUCUUCUUAGUAUAAUCAGUAAAACUCUCUUCAGUUCUAGUUUGAUUGUUUUAUGUAGCUUGUGAAUGGUUUUAUAAUAUUGUUGAGGAACUUCAGUCAUUCUUUCUUCAUCUUAUUAUUUGUUCAGAUCAACAGAAGAUGCUGCAGUGAGAGGCGGAGCACAAAUGGACAAAUGUUGCGCUAUGUUGGCGGAGCCACAUAUGAUUGACAGGUGCCAUUAGUGAACAUGAGCCACUAAGACCUUUAUAACUUUAUAGUUUAUAGGAAAGAUGAUGUAAAAGUGAAAUUAAAUAAUUUGAAUGUAUAGAAAUAUAUAUGUUAAAGAAGCUCACUGUUUUAACAUUUUAAAAUAUAUUUUCCUGCAAUAUUUCAACUGCGCACCUUCACAAUGGAAAAUGUAUUGUUUUAUGGUGUCAAGGUGCUCAGUAUUAUCAGCUUCUGUUAUUCUGUCUUUUGUUUUUCUGUAACUUUCCCUUUAAGUGAUCAGUUUUAUUUGUGAUCAUCUCAUAUGUUUAUACAAACCUUCAAAUUACCACCAGAGGUCACCAUCUCCUGCUCCUGACAUCAACACUGACGUGCAUCAGCUGUAAAUCAUCAUCAUGCAUCUUCAUGUGUAUAAUAUUUUAUCAUGUACUGUGUUUAAAGUCAUUAAUAUGUUUGUAUUAUAAUUCCUAAUGCAUACGUUCAGCAUCUGCUUUGGUUUCUUCAAUCUCUGUUUGCUGUAAUAGCGGCUCUUUACGUCAUUAUUAUUUGUAAGUGUUUGCUUGUAUUUCCUACUGCAGGACUCAUUUUUAUUUCGAAAAUUUAAAUGACAUCUAAAUGCGUUAUUUGAAUAUCAGUUCUGAUUGGUCAGUUUUGUAAUGAGAGGAGUUAAUUCCAUCAGCUCUGGCAUUCCUGAAAUAAUUAAAACUCAUUUGAGCUACAGCAAAUGAAAGAAAAGUUAAAUAAAAUUACUCCUUUCUGCA